UCUCUACAGGUUGACCGGAGCCGAAUCACCAAAACACGAACCUCGCCGGAGAGCCGCCGCACCCGAGAGCGCCGCCACCGGUAAGCUCCGUUUUUCCGUGAUUUUUUGGCCCCCCGAGGGCCCUAGGGUUGUUUUCUCACAAGGACCGAUGUGAGUGUGGCCGAAUUCGGCCGAAAACAGCCAACCCGAGGCGACUCGCCGCCGCCAGCGGCGGCGCCGUCGCCGGAGCACGGCGGAGCCGCCGUGCCGGAGUUACGAUUUGGGUCGAAAGAGGCCCUGGGCCUAAUUUGGGUUUUUUUGGAACACGU
rnacentral:lncRNA from 1 species